GGGAAUGGCGGGAGGAUGGAGGGAUCAAAAGUGGCCUUGUGCGUUAAUUAGAACAACCCUGGAGCCGUGGGUACGUUCUCCUUAGACUCGUUCUGGCUGUAGCCUGAGCGCUGCGGGGCCAUCAAAUCCAGACUGGAUCUGUUCAAAUCCAAGGCGGUUGUUUUACCACAACCAUCCCUCCCCCUGCCCGUUUUUUCCUUUCUGCGGAUGCAAAAACCCACUCUGUCCAGGGAGGCAUUUGGGAUGAGCCCCUGAUUUACUCGGUGAUGGCAGGUUGCAGAUAAUGUGGCAGCUGCAGAUUUACGGCCGCAAUGAUUUUGUGACUCAAAGGAUGGCGCUUGUUGGGCAAUAGGGGUGAACUGGCUAGAAACACAUUCUGACAAGAGACCUAUUGUUCAGUACACACACACACACACACACACACACACACACACACACACACACUUCUCAUCACAGGGAAGUGAGACAGUUCAGCUCUGUUUAGCAUUAUCUCCCAUGAAACGAACGAAAGAGUCAGAAUUUUAAGAAGCUGAAGGAGAAAAGAAGGGGGGGGGGGGAGAGAGAGAGAGAGAGGUGGAACAAAAAGGGAAUACGAUUAGAAGAGAAUAUAGUAGAUGUGUUCAAGUAUCCAAGCGAGUUGUACAGGCCAGUAUUGAGAGCAAGAUGAACAGCCCCAUAAAAUUCAAAGACACACACACACACACACACACAGAGAGAGAGAGAGAGAGAGAGAGAGAGAGAGAGUCCUUAGCAUAUAAUCACGGGAAUGGGUCUAAAAAUCAUAAUGUGGUGAGAUAGACUUUUAAUCUUCUGACUGAUUCACUCUAUUUUCUGCUUUUUGGAAGAGAAAGGAAGCAGGUCUAUAGUUUUGUUCCUUUAACAAAAUGGCUGCCAUUGAAAAACAACAUUUGUCUGAUAAAAAUAGGAGUGAUAACUCUCAGACCAAGUCCUUUGGGGAUGUAGACGCAGUGAAAAAUCAGCUCCACCAGGCAGAGUUCUAGCUAAUGGAAACCUUUUCUUGUAAAUGACAGCACCAUCAC